UAGAGUUUGAUCCUGGCUCAGGACGAACGCUGGCGGCGUGCCUAAUACAUGCAAGUAGAACGCUGAAGGAGGAGCUUGCUUCUCUGGAUGAGUUGCGAACGGGUGAGUAACGCGUAGGUAACCUGCCUGGUAGCGGGGGAUAACUAUUGGAAACGAUAGCUAAUACCGCAUAAGAGUAGAUGUUGCAUGACAUUUGCUUAAAAGGUGCAAAUGCAUCACUACCAGAUGGACCUGCGUUGUAUUAGCUAGUUGGUGGGGUAACGGCUCACCAAGGCGACGAUACAUAGCCGACCUGAGAGGGUGAUCGGCCACACUGGGACUGAGACACGGCCCAGACUCCUACGGGAGGCAGCAGUAGGGAAUCUUCGGCAAUGGACGGAAGUCUGACCGAGCAACGCCGCGUGAGUGAAGAAGGUUUUCGGAUCGUAAAGCUCUGUUGUAAGACAAGAACGAGUGUGAGAGUGGAAAGUUCACACUGUGACGGUAUCUU
rnacentral:rRNA from 1 species